UACGGGGGGGGCAAGCGUUGUUCGGAAUUACUGGGCGUAAAGGGCGCGUAGGCGGUGCUCUAAGUCGGAUGUGAAAACUCUGGGCUCAACCCAGAGCCUGCAUCCGAAACUGGAGUGCUAGAGUUCUGGAGGGGGUAGCGGAAUUCCUGGUGUAGCGGUGAAAUGCGUAGAUAUUCGCAAGAACACCAGUGGCGAAGGCGGCUCACUGGCCCGAUACUGACGCUGAGGCACGAAAGCGUGGGGAGCAAACAGG
rnacentral:rRNA from 1 species